GCUUUGUUAUAUAUUUUAUAUAAAAGGCCUACAAUUAUUUAGAAUUGGCCCUAAUAAAAAAAGUAAAUUUGCGGAUGGUUGUUUGUGAGUUUCCUCAGCGUCGCUGUUUUGAACAUCAAAAAGUUGACCCCAAUAUUGUAGUAUUCAAAGUCAAUACUUUCUGCCUCGUCUUCCUUCUUUCACCAAUGGAGCAACCCCAUUCCCAGCACACACAUGGAAAACCCACCAAAAUUUUCCAUUUACUGACGCCUAAAGAAACCCACAAAUGGCUGAUUUUAUAUGGACAUUUGCACUGCAAGAGAUUCUCAAGAAGACAUUGCACCUUGCAACCCAACAAAUCCGUCUGGCCUCCGGUUUCAACCACGACCUCUCUAAACUCCUCCACUCAUUGCUCUUCUUCGAAGCCAUUCUUCGCGAUGUCGAUCGAACAAAAUCCGACCGACAGUCGGUCAAGAUUUGGGUCACUAAGCUUCAGGAUUUAGUGCUCGAUGCUGAAGUUGUGCUGGACGAGCUCUCCUACGAGGACCUUAGGCGAGAAGUGGACGUCAAUGGAAAUUCGAAGAAAAGAGUACGCGAUUUCUUUUCGUUCUCGAAUCCCUUGAUGUUUAGGUUGAAAAUGGCGCGUAAAAUUAGAACCAUCACCCAAGUUUUGAAUGAGAUUAAAGGGGAGGCUAGUGCUGUUGGGGUUAUUCCUAAAGGGGGCAAUGAUGAAAUAGUGGCUGAUAAUGGCCAUAUUCCGGAGACUGACUCAUUUCUUGAUGAAUUCGAAGUUGUAGGAAGAAGGGCUGAUAUAUCUAGAAUAGUGAACGUUGUUGUUGAUAAUGCCACUCAUGAAAGGAUCACUGUGAUUCCUAUUGUGGGAAUGGGUGGUCUUGGAAAGACAACUUUGGCAAAAGCAGUUUUCAACCAUGAGCUUGUGAUAGCACAUUUUGAUGAAACUAUUUGGGUGUGUGUGACUGCAACUUUUGAUGAAAAGAAGAUUUUAAGAGCAAUUUUGGAAUCUCUAACGAAUUUUCCAAGUGGUUUGGAUAGUAAGGAUGCUAUACUUAGAAGGCUACAAAAGGAGCUGGAAGGGAAAAGGUAUUUUCUUGUGCUGGAUGACGUGUGGAAUGAAAAUGUUAAACUGUGGAACAAUUUCAAGAGUCUUCUGCUAAAGAUUACAAAUAGUAUUGGGAACAGAGUUCUUGUGACAACUAGAAGUGAGGAAGCUGGAAAAAUCAUGGAAACAUUUCCCAGUCAUCAUGUAGAAAAGUUAUCGGAUGAUGAAUGCUGGUCAAUAUUCAAGGAAAGAGCAUCGGCAAAUGGAUUACCACUGACUCCAGAAUUGGAAGUUAUUAAGAAUGUGCUUGCAGAGCAGUUUGGAGGCAUUCCAUUGGUUGCAAAAGUUCUGGGAGGGGCUGUACAAUUUAAGAAAAGAACAGAGACUUGGUUGAUGUCAACAUUGGAAACCCUUAUAAUGAAUCCACUUCAAAAUGAAAAUGACGUUUCAUCUAUUUUGAGAUUAAGCGUGGAUCAUCUGCCAAACUCAUCAUUGAAACAAUGCUUUGCCUACUUUUCUAAUUUUCCCAAGGGUUUUAACUUUGAAAAGGAACAACUAAUCCAAUUUUGGAUGGCAGAAGGGUUCAUUCAACCUUCUGAUAAAGUAAACCCCGAAACCAUGGAAGAUAUAGGAGAUAAAUACUUCAAUAUCUUGCUGGCUCGUUCCUUAUUUCAAGAUAUUGUUAAAGAUGAGAAUGGUAAAAUUACACACUGUAAGAUGCAUCAUCUUCUACAUGAUCUUGCUUAUUCUGUCUCAAAAUGUGAAGCACUGGGUUCGAAUCUUAAUGGUCUGGUUGAUGAUGUUCCUCAAAUUCGACAAUUAUCCCUGAUUGGCUGCGAGCAAAAUGUAACGUUGCCUCCUAGAAGGAGCAUGGAGAAGUUGCGUUCUCUAUUUUUGGAUAGAGAUGUGUUUGGCCACAAGAUUUUAGAUUUCAAGCGCUUGCGUGUUCUGAACAUGUCCCUAUGUGAAAUCCAAAACUUACCAACUUCAAUCGGAAGGUUAAAGCAUCUAAGGUAUCUUGAUGUCUCAAAUAAUAUGAUAAAGAAACUUCCAAAAUCUAUUGUUAAGCUUUAUAAAUUGCAGACCCUGAGGCUGGGUUGUUUCCGUGGAGAAGCCCCCAAAAAAUUCAUAAAAUUGAUCAGCUUGAGACAUUUCUAUAUGAAUGUUAAAAGACCAACAACUAGGCACAUGCCUUCGUAUUUAGGCAGGUUGGUUGAUCUUCAAUCCUUGCCUUUUUUUGUUGUUGGGACAAAGAAGGGUUUCCAUAUAGAAGAGCUUGGAUACUUGAGGAAUCUCAGAGGUAAAUUAAAGCUUUACAAUCUUGAAUUAGUAAGAAAUAAGGAGGAAGCCAUGAGGGCAGAUUUGGUGAAAAAGGAUAAGGUGUACAAAUUGAAACUGGUAUGGAGUGAAAAAAGAGAAAAUAAUUAUAACCAUGACAUUUCUGUUUUAGAAGGACUUCAACCACACAUCAAUCUUCAGUACUUGACAGUUGAAGCCUUUAUGGGAGAACUUUUUCCAAAUCUUACUUUUGUUGAAAAUUUGGUACAAAUUUCUCUAAAAAAUUGUAGCAGAUGUCGAAGAAUUCCAACAUUUGGACAUCUACCCAAUCUUAAGGUUCUUGAGAUUUCUGGAUUACACAACCUAAAAUGUAUAGGAACAGAGUUCUAUGGGAAUGAAUAUGGAGAAGGAAGUUUGUUUCCAAAAUUGAAAAGAUUUCAUCUUUCAGACAUGAAUAAUCUUGGACGUUGGGAAGAAGCAGCAGUGCCAACAGAAGUUGCAGUUUUUCCUUGUCUUGAAGAGUUGAAAAUUCUCGACUGUCCUAGACUAGAAAUUGCACCUGAUUACUUCUCAACUCUUAGGACAUUAGAAAUUGAUGAUGUCAACAACCCAAUUUCACAGAUCACUCUUCAGACAUUCAAACUACUUGGUAUUAUACACUCUGGCAACCUGAGUGGUUUGCCUGAGGAGUUACGUGGUAAUCUGUCAUCUCUUGAGGAGUUUAAGGUUUGGUAUUAUCUUCACUUGAAAUCCUUUCCAACUAUUCAGUGGCUCACUGAUAUUUUGAAAGGCAAGACCGGAUAUGACACAAAGUGGACAAAUAUUCAAUCUCAUGGGCUAGAAUCGUACACUUCUGUGAAUGAAUUGUCCAUUGUUGGGCACUCUGAUCUCACAUCAACCCCAGAUAUAAAAGCUUUAUAUAAUCUUUCGUCUUUAACAAUUAGUGGCUUGAAGAAAUUGCCAAAAGGAUUUCACUGCCUCACUUGCUUGAAAAGUUUGUCAAUUGGUGGAUUCAUGGAGGGGUUUGAUUUUAGGCCUCUUUUGCAUCUCAAGUCUCUUGAAAAUCUUGCAAUGAUAGACUUUGGCCUUGCAGAAAGCACACUUCCUGAUGAGCUUCAACACCUAACUGGCUUAAAGCACUUGAAAAUUGUUGGAUUUCAGGGCAUUGAAUCUCUGCCAGAGUGGUUAGGAAAUCUUAACUCAUUGGAAAGUUUGCACAUUGAGAGUUGCAGAAAAUUGAGAGAGCUUCCAGAAGCCAUGGGUUGCCUCGCCAAAUUGGAGGAAGUGCGGAGUUUCAAUUGCCCAGAGUUGAGGGUUUACCAAGACGAAUCAGAAUGGGCCAAGAUUUCUUACAUUCCAAGAUUCAUAUCAUUCAAUUAUUGGGUUGAUGAGGACCAACAAAGGAUUCAGUUCAAAGUUUGCCACAAACCUAGCUAAUGACCAAUUGUAAUGAAUGAAGCAUGGACAACAGUGCAUUUUGAACUGGUUAAUUGAAUCAACUAAGCGCUCUCAUCAGAUUAAUUCUAUUGCUGCUGAGGUCCUUGGUCAAUUCAUGCGUGCAUUUUGUAAUGAACACUUCGGCUACGUGUACUCAUCUUAAAGGAAUGGAUCACUUAUAUCUGAUGAGGUAGGUUCCCAACAAAUACUGUCCUUAGUUCUUAUCAACUCAAAUUAUUUGAAGUAGUUGGAAAGAUAUAUAUGGCUUGGCCUUCUUACAGAUUAAGAACUUUGGAAUUAUACACGAGAGAGAAUACUUUAUGAAGUGUUGCUAUCAGCUCCUUGGGAUUAGAAUUGGGUGACUGACAGAAACGGUGGAGAAGCGCAAAUUUGUCCUAAAAAAAUUCCUAAUCAUUCAUACGUAUGAAUGUUACACAGAAACUGAGGAGGAGGAAGAGGAAAAAUCUUGAUGAGUAAUGACAAAUCAAGCAACGGACAAAUGAAACCCAUAGAGAUCGCCAUUUUCAUCUCAAGAACCUGACACAAAAAACCACAGAUCUCCAUUUUUUAAGGCUGGAGAAUGGCUCAAGAAUUUUCUCUCAAUAAACUUGACAAAGAACAUUCCCAAAAUGGCCAAUCAGAUUUUCUUCUGAAAAUUCAACAACUCUCCAAUUGCCACUUCGACCAAAGAUGUGAACCCACCGGAAUCAAACGUUCCCAUUAUUCCUACAAACCACCUACCGGCGACCACCACGUUUGAUAUGGAAGAGGAGCAGGCAAAAUACGCAAAUGGGUCACCUUUUCCUCUUCCUCCUUGGUUACUCUCUACUCUGUAACAUUCAUUUGGAUCAUUUUUUUUUCUUUUGACAAAAUUUGCCCUCCUUCACCCAAUUUUAAGCUAAGGGGUUAACUGCAACACUCUCCUAAACUUAACUCCAACCUUUAGGGGUGAUUUGCACAAUUUUCAUAAGCAUUUAUGUUGUGCUGGUCAUAUUGAAUAGUUUUUUAAAAGCAUUUUGGUGUAAAGAUGAUAUAAAUGUCAAUAUAUAACUAUUCCUAUUGCUUUGGCAUCUUCUUCU